rnacentral:rRNA from 1 species
GACGAACGCUGGCGGCGGGCUUAACACAUGCAAGUCGAACGAACGCCUUCGGGCGUUAGUGGCGCACGGGUGAGUAACACGUAGGCAAUCUACCCUCGGCUGGGGAAUAACCAGGGGAAACCCUGGCUAAUACCGCAUAACAUCUGGACGUCGCCUGGCGACCAGAUCAAAGCUUUAUGUGGCCGAGGAUGAGCCUGCGUCGGAUUAGCUAGUUGGUGGGGUAACGCCUACCAAGGCGACGAUCCGUAGCGGGUCUGAGAGGAUGAUCCGCCACACUGGCACUGAGACACGGGCCAGACUCCUACGGGAGGCAGCAGUGAGGAAUAUUGCGCAAUGGACGAAAGUCUGACGCAGCCACGCCGCGUG